rnacentral:lncRNA from 1 species
GAUUUCAUAUAUUGAUUUCAUAUGGAUCGUGACCAUUUCUUUUGGAUCAUCGGACGACGACUCGGGCGAUUCCUGAGGCUGAAGACAACAACGGCAAGAGGCACUCCAGCGGCGCGAUUAGGGUUUCGCUGUGAACCCUAACAACAGUGGCAGCGGCGCAUUUUAUUCUUGAAGAUUUGAUUUUUUCCAAUGUGCAAUCCAAGUUAAGUUUGUGAAAUUUUAGUCAUAAAAUUAAACAUCAAUUUUGUUAUUAGAGAAGGCUUGCAUUUGGCUUUAUUUCAUGUAUGGAAACAAGCUUUGUGAUGUCAAAGUUCCUUAUCUGAUUCACCAUACAUAUACUAUUUGAAGUGAAAAGCUCCACCUUCAAGAUCGUUCAUAGCAUUCAAAACCUGGUAAGGACCGACAUUGGGUUCAGAUGACUGUGGUAUUGGGCUUUCUCGGCUUCAAUGACGCAGAUACUAGAGAGGCUGCCAGCAUUUGGUGAAUUUAGAUAAUUUAUUUUGUGGACAAAGCCAUCCCGGAAGAACCGAUAGAGUAUAUUUGAAGGUUUUGACUGCGUUGGCAGCUGCUGUGAUCACAUUUGGUUGUGAUAUGUCUGCUUUGGCGGAUCUGAAUAAGUUUGAGGCGAAUUUAUUGGUGAAUUCGGUAUUGGAUUGGCUGCUUAGUUCGGUUCUGCUGCUCUCAGAUGCAGAAGGAACAAAGAACCUAAGUAAUGAUGCGAUUGGGGGUCUUGCCGCUGCUGUACAAAAAUAUAACAUGAGGUCAAAGUAGAGAGGCUGCAAAGAGUGACAUAAUGUGAAUCAGCGAUUGAAAUAGAAGUGAACACAUGACUAUGAUCAACCAAUCGAAUGGAUCACGAUCAAAGAAGGAAUUUCAAGACAGUGUUAUGAAAGCUAAGGAUCCGAACGAAGAGAUGAUCAAGAUACGAAAAGAAAUAGUCGAUUUCAAUGUAAUGCCUCAUUGAAUAUAUUUUGUUACAGUCUUGAGAAUUUGCCAUAUCAUAUUGGAAAUUUUUAAUCAUUAUGCAUUUAUUUUGAUAUCAUUCAAUGGUCAGUUUCACUUGGUUUGUAUGUCACACCAAAAUACAUGUCCAGUUGGUUACAAUAUGAAUGGAUUUAUUUCU